CCUACGGGUGGCAGCAGUGGGGAAUCUUGCGCAAUGGGCGAAAGCCUGACGCAGCGACGCCGCGUGAGGGAUGAAGGCUCUCGGGUUGUAAACCUCUUUCAGCGGGGACGAAGCGAAAGUGACGGUACCCGCAGAAGAAGCCCCGGCCAACUACGUGCCAGCAGCCGCGGUAAUACGUAGGGGGCGAGCGUUGUCCGGAUUUAUUGGGCGUAAAGGGCUCGUAGGUGGCUUGGUAAGUCGGACGUAAAAGUCCAGGGCUCAACCCUGGGAUGCGUUCGAUACUGUCAGGCUAGAGGCCGGUAGGGGGAUCUGGAAUUCCUGGUGUAGCGGUGAAAUGCGCAGAUAUCAGGAGGAACACCGGUGGCGAAGGCGGGAUCCUGGGCCGGACCUGACACUGAUGAGCGAAAGCUGGGGGAGCGAACAGGAUUAGAUACCCUAGU
rnacentral:rRNA from 1 species